CCUGGUGUUCAUGGCACUGUGGACCCACUCCGAUCCAUCUCGAACUCGGUUGUGAAACGCAGUAGCGGCGACGAUAGUUGGAGGGAAGCUUCCUGCAAAAAUAGCUCGAUGCCAGGAUAAAACUCUUGUCCAUCCAUUUUUGGUUGAGCGCGGCUAGAUCUAGCGGCUAGACCAAGACGAAAAGGCCACCGCAAGGUGGCUUUUUUUGUGGUUUGAAAUCA
rnacentral:rRNA from 1 species